ACACUUCUCCUUUUGGUUCUUUACUAGGAAGGAGCAGCACCUCUCUGCCAGGCCUGCACAGUGCUGGGGAGCUGUCUGCUGUGUCCUAGCCUGUGUUGGAAGGAGUAAUGGCUGACUGGAAUGAACUACAAUCCAGAAUUGGAGGGCUCACCUGGGAUCCAGAUCUUGAGGCUGGAAGACACAAGUUUCUGACCUGGAUCUUGGCCUGGAGAUCCUGAGGCACGGUGGCCAUGGAAGGCUUAGGUCCAGGCAUGGUGAUAUGCACCUUUAAUCCCAGGAGACUGAGGCAAGCAGAACUCUGAGUUCAAGGUCAGCCUGGGACAAAGCAAGUCCUAGAUCCAGGCAUGGUGGUGCAUCUUUAAUCCCGGUCACCCCUUCUGCUGGAGGCCUACAUAAGGACAUUGGAAGAAGGAAGAUUCGCGCUUCUCGCCUGCUUGCACUUACUCGCCAGCACAUCUGUUGGAAUCUACUUCUACAGAAGACCAGCUGAAACAACCAGCCUCGUGGGACUGAGCAACUUCUAGAUCCCUGGGCUUCCCAUUCACAGCUGCCCAUUGUUGGGGAGUUGGACUACAGACUGAUGGAAUUAAAAAGCAUCGGCUUCUCGGUUUCCUUUGAAAACCGCAAGCCCCUGAGAAAAAGGGCAGGGAGGCCCAGUAACUGCAAGAACAGGAGCUGUGGAGUACCGGAAGUGACCUACAAGGAUGUGGGAGUCCAGAACAGAGCACGAGUUUGGGGAAACUCUGCAUGCUUCCCACAAGCUGGGCAGUGCUUGAACCCAUGGGCAGAGCUCCACGGUUCUGCCGGUUAUGGGUGAGUGUUAGGGGGUUGAAAGGUUGGAAGAAAGAAGAACCCACAAAGUAGCAAAGAUGAGCUACAGCCGGCCUUAGCAGCAAGCUCUACCCACCCUGACAGCCCAGGACUGACUGGUUCUUUCAUGUUGAGGAAAACUCCCUUCAGGCCUGGAGUUUUAAUCAGAACGAGACACCCCUCCCCCCCCCAUCCCUUGUCACCUGAUCACUCAUUCCAAUAGAAGUCAUAACUGGCUUCUGUUGUCACGAAUAGGGUUGUGUGUGGUAAGUACUCCCCAGAGUAUGCUUAUUGUCUGGCCCAAAAUGCUGGGUGCACGCAUUGAGUACUCCCUGUAUACCAGGCUAUACCAGGGCUGUAAAUUCCAUAGACCCUGAGGAAACCAGAAGCCAAGGGGGUUCACGUCCCAUGACCUUUCGCCUUCUACGUCAGAGCUUCUGAUACUGCCUCCUUGUCCUUCCUUCCCUGCUGUCCAGCAAGACACUGGACCUGUUGUGACAGCCACCCACACAUGACUAGUGAGUGCUCAAAAAUGUGUCCAGGACCACUUGGCAAUCAAGGCUGCAUUUUAAUCUACUCUAAUCGACGUGUCAGCAUGUGGGUAGUAACUGCAGUGUCGGAUGGCCCAACUCACUGAGAACCUGUCCUGAGCUCUGCCUGUGACGCUGUCACAUCUCUCCCUGCCACCACCUCUGCAGUCCGAAUGUCACUGCUGUGGUGUGACUGAGCACGUCCUGGUUUACAGCAGCUCCCGCCAUGGGUUCGAGCCCACAUGAGCAUCGCUUCCAACUCUUCAGGGACCUCCAUGUGAGGGCUGAGAGCCCUUUUGGAAGUCUUUAUGCCAGGGGAAUGAAUGGUCAUUGCUCUCCAAAGUUUCUUCUGCUCAGACAAGCACAUGCUAAAAACUCACCAGCAACAGAGCCAAGACUUGCUGAGGACAGUACUAGUGGAUAUUCCUUAAGUUUUGCUCACUUAGCACCUCCUGGGUCUCCCCUAGCCCGGAGCCAUGCUCUACCGAGCACCCCUACACCCAGCUCCUCUACUCCUGUAGGACCCUGCAGCUUCUGGGGUUUCUGUCUGAUGUCUGUGUUUGUAUCUGUCUUCUCCGUUAAGCUUAGAACCCCUACAGGGCAGAUAGUUUCUCUGUCCUUGUGGACUGAAUCCACAGGACCCACUGCACAGUGGGCAUCCCAUAAGCAUGCACAGGAGCCAACACGACACACACUAGGUGCUCCUUCGGACCCACUGCACAGUGGGCAUCCCAUAAGCAUGCACAGGAGCCAACACGACACACACUAGGUGCUCCUUAGGACCCACUGCACAGUGGGCAUCCCAUAAGCAUGCACAGGAGCCAACACGACACACACUAGGUGCUCCUUAGGACCAUGUAGAAAUAAGUACCACACACAGUGGGUCCUCCAUGAGAGUGCAUGUAAGCUGGGGCUGGGGAGAUGGCGCAGUAGUUAAGAGCACAGGCUGCUUUUGCAGAGGACCUGGGUUCAGUCCCCAGCAACCCACACAGUGUCUCACGACGUUCUGUAACUCCAGUUCCGGGGGGAUCAGAUGCCUUCUUGGGUCCGAGGCAUAUGUGUGGUAUACAUACACACAGGCAAAACACUCAUGCACGAAAAAUAAAAAUAAAAUAUUCUUAAAGAAUGAGGUGGAUUAAAAAUAAAUACAUUUAAACAGGCGCAGCACACAGUGGGUGCUCCAGUAGGAUAUGUAAAAGAAACACGAAAACUUAGUGGAAAGAUGGUGGGGCUAGAGACCUAACCCUAGACUCCGGAGUUUGACUCUUCUUGUGGUUCUAAUGAGAUGUGUGACAUGAGACGCAUCCCCCUGGACUCGGCGUCCUUGUAUGUUAGUUCCACAGGCAUUCUCUCUCUUUCCUGCUCACCUCGUGAAGAUACCGAAAGUGAAAAUAAGACACCGUGUGGCUUUAGAAGGUUAUUCUCAUGAACAAACGGCUCUGAAAAUCUGGAACAUUGAGUUCUUUUGGGCCUUUGGCCAUUUUGUACAUGAGCAGCACCACUUGUGUAUAGGAGAACCAAGGGCCACUGCUCUCUAAUAACAGACCAGAGCGAUUGCUAACACGCCGAGCAAGGAGGGGGCGCAUGCGUGGCUCACUGAGCACCAGCCUCCCAGCACAGCUUGCAGGUCCUGAAUCUUCCUCCCUAGGAAAGUAAGGGCUGGCUACGCUGGAGGAGGGCUGUUUGUCAGGAAGGAGGCCUCCAGGGGAAAGCCAGCCUCUCAGAUGGGAGGUUUUCUCAUCUGACUUUUAGGAAAGUUAAGUUUUCUCCCGAAAAAACACAGAUCUUUGUCAUUUCUUCCUCGGCUUGAGAAUUUCUUCCAAUCUGUGAUUCUGAGAACCACGGUGGGCAUCUGCGGCCUGUGUCAGCUACGGCGUCACCAGGACUGCUCCAGGGGGGUUAAUUGCAUCUAAGCGUUGGAAAGCGACUCUCUAAUUAAACUUUGAAACGGAAUGGCAAAAUCGCUGGGUGACAGACUGUCUGUGGGAGGGUCCCCUGAGGUGCUCUUCGGUUGUUGCUAAUCAUCUUCUGGGCCCAGGCUGUGCCUGUGUGCGGCGGGGCCCGUGUUCAGACCUCGCUGUGCAGAACUCUGGAUUCCCUUGGAGGUUUGUCAGACAGGCCCCCCGCGGUGCUCUAUGCCCUGCCUGAACCCCACAGUUGGGCCUGGAUAUCUUGGAAGACUUUCACUGCUUGUCUUCGGCUCUCUGAUUUCUAUUUAAAAAUCAAAAGGUUAUUUCUAUACUUAGAACUGUGACAUCAAAAAAAUUCGAAUGUUGGAAGUUAAUUCUAAAUGUUUGUGAGUAUUUCCCAAAGAACUCGAGUUUGAGACCAUUGGCACCGGCUAUAAAAUCCCCUCACGCUGAACUCCUCAGAUUUACUCAGUACUCCAAGCCAGGGACCCACCAGACAGUUCGGGGGGAUGCUGAGUGGGUCUACAAAGCACCAUGCGGUGAAGCUUAGUGGUCAGGCAUGUCAAUGGACACCUCACAACUUCCAGAACAUCCCCUUUGCCCUUUGCCCUUUACCCCUCCCAUUCCUUCGCAUGGAGACUGGCAUCUCAUGGUGAAGUGGCUUCCCGAACCCCUCUAAGGGGUUCCUCUAAGAUUUCCUGAUGUCUGUAAAAGAUUUAGAUUAACUGGAUUGAGGUGGGACGAUCUGCCCUAAGUGUGGGCAGCCCCGUUUUGUGGACUGGGGUCCUGGACUGCCAGCGUUCGCUGCACUCACUGGGCUUCCUGACCACAGAGGUUCUGCCUCAGGCACUCGCUGCUGUUCUGUUCCCACCUUGAUGCACGGUGUCCCCUCAAACUGCAGGCCAAUGUAAGUCUUCCUCCUUUAGGUUGCUUCCUGUGUACUUUGUGACAGUAAUGAGUAAGUAAUAGCCCUCGUUUUUUUUCCCCCCCCUGUGGCUUAUGGUGGGUUAAACACAAAAAAAAAUAGGCUCUGACAUUGGUGCCACCAACAAGGGACCACACGUUCAAAUACAUGAGCCUGUUGGGGGCAUUUCUCCUUCACAUUACAAGCACCCAUCACCAUGUGCCAGGGUGUGGAGAUGAUCAGAUUGGAUAAGAAGGCUGCUUCUGCAGUCUGCACGUUGGGAGGGGUCCUCUAAGCAGUCAAGGCAAAUUCAGAUCUGGUUGAGGACGGUCACUGUGUGACAGAGAUUGCAAUGCAGGUGGCUGGGCCCGAAGCUUGUAGACCCCUGAGAAAGGCCAGGGAGAGCUCUUUCUGAGUGGAGAGGUUUAUGGGCAGCUUGGAGUGCAGCUUCGCUCCUGUGGGCUCUUUUGUCUUUAUCUCCAUCCUCCCAGAAUUGCCUCGUUGGGGCUUUAAUAGACGUCUGUAGCAGAGGUCACCCAAGGUGUCUGAAGAGCCACCCCAGGAAUAGAACAGCAUUGUUGUAUUCAGUAACCAUUGAGACUGUAACUCGUUACCCUGCUCAGUGCCAUUUACCCACGAUGUUCCUGUGGCAAAUGCAUCCUAGGGCACUGGGCCAAGAAAACUGGGUCCUCUUCACACCCGCUUGGAUCCUAGCUCCAGAGAGUAAGAACACCGUGACCUGCUGUCCUGUCCCAAGGACUCUGGUGGGAGGGAGCUCCAGGAGAGACUGGAACUUGGUUCUCUCUGUAGCAUCACCUGUAUCAUCGCCCCCAAAGCUGGAUCUAAGUGAACCUUAUUUGUGUGAGGUUUUAUUCCCCACCCUUUUAAUUGUAAGCUGUUCUUUUGGAAAAGAAAGUGGGGGGAGGGGAGUGGUUAUGUCUGUCAAUAUGUGGUUUAGAAGAGAUGAUGGCAGCCCUAAAUAAAGUUGG